UAUGGGGUUCUUAUGGGGUCCUUAUGGGGUAAAUUGAGGUUUAUAGGGUCCUUAUGGGGACUUUAUGGGGUUAAUUGGGGUUUAUAGGGUCCUUAUGGGGUCAUUAUGGGACCCUUAUGGGGUUAAAGUGGGUUUAUAGGGUCUCUAUGGGGUCCUUAUUGGGUCCUUAUGGGGUCAGUUGGGGUCCUUAUGGGGUUAAAGGGGGUUUAUGGAGUCCUUAUGGGGUCUUUAUGGGGUUAAAUGGGGUUUAUGGGGUCCUUAUGGGGUCCUUAUGGGGUCCUUAUGGGGUUAAUGGGGGUUUAUAGGGGUCCCUAUGGGGUUAUUAUAGGGUCCUUAUGGGGUUAAUUGGGGUUUAUGGUGUCUCUAUGGGGUCCUUAUGGGGUCCUUAUGGGAUCUGGGGGCAUUUAUAGGGUCUCUAUGGGGUCUUUAUGGGGUCCUUCUGGGGUUAAUUAGGGUUUAUAGGGUCCUUAUGGGGACUUUAUGGGGUUAAUUGGGGUCCUUAUGGGGUCCUUAUGGGGUCCUUAUGGGGUCAAUUGGGGUUUAUAGGGCCCUUAUGGGGUCCUUAUGGUGUCUUUACGGGGUUAAAGGGGGUUUAUAGGGUCUCUAUGGGGUCCUUAUGGGGUCAAUUGGGGUUUAUGGAGUCCUUAUGGGGUCUUUAUGGGGUUAAAUGGGGUUUAUGGGGUCCUUAUGGGGUCAUUAUGGGGUCCUUAUGGGGUCAAUUGGGGUUUAUGGGGCCCUUAUGGGGUCAUUAUGGGACCCUUAUGGGGUUAAAGGGGGUUUAUAGGGUCUCUAUGGGGUCCCUUUGG
ensembl:lncRNA